CCGCCUGCCAGCGAAGCAGGAUGGUUGGACGCGCCGUGGCGAAGCUGUCCCACCCUUGCCAGCCAAGCAGGAUGUUGGACGCCGCCGUGGUGAAGCUGUCCCACUUGCCAGCGAAGCAGGAUAGUGGGAUCGUCCGUGGCCUGCCGUAUUGCCAGGGAAUGUAUGCUGUAUGAUUCUUCGUGUCGCGGCCAAGCCGUUUAGUGCAGUGUCGGAAGCUUGUUUAGUUUUUUAAUAAGAUAACUUACAUAUUUUAAA